GACGAACGCUGGCGGCGUGCCUAAUACAUGCAAGUAGAACGCACAGUUUAUACCGUAGCUUGCUACACCAUAGACUGUGAGUUGCGAACGGGUGAGUAACGCGUAGGUAACCUGCCUGGUAGCGGGGGAUAACUAUUGGAAACGAUAGCUAAUACCGCAUAAUAUUAAUUAUUGCAUGAUAAUUAAUUGAAAGGUGCAAUUGCACCACUACCAGAUGGACCUGCGUUGUAUUAGCUAGUAGGUGAGGUAACGGCUCACCUAGGCGACGAUACAUAGCCGACCUGAGAGGGUGAUCGGCCACACUGGGACUGAGACACGGCCCGGACUCCUACGGGAGGCAGCAGUAGGGAAUCUUCGGCAAUGGACGAAAGUCUGACCGAGCAACGCCGCGUGAGUGAAGAAGGUUUUCGGAUCGUAAAGCUCUGUUGUAAGAGAAGAACGGGUGUGAGAGUGGAAAGUUCACACUGUGACGGUAUCUUACCAGAAAGGGACGGCUAACUACGUG
rnacentral:rRNA from 1 species